CAGCAGCCGCGGGAAUACAGAGGGUGCGAGCGUUAAUCGGAUUUACUGGGCGUAAAGCGUGCGUAGGCGGCUUCUUAAGUCGGAUGUGAAAUCCCUGAGCUUAACUUAGGAAUUGCAUUCGAUACUGGGAAGCUAGAGUAUGGGAGAGGAUGGUAGAAUUCCAGGUGUAGCGGUGAAAUGCGUAGAGAUCUGGAGGAAUACCGAUGGCGAAGGCAGCCAUCUGGCCUAAUACUGACGCUGAGGUACGAAAGCAUGGGGAGCAAACAGGAUUAGAUACCCCAGUAGUCCCUGUCUCUUAUAU
rnacentral:rRNA from 1 species